AUGGCAAAGAAGGGUGAAUCGAGUGCAAGAACCGGAAAGGAAAAGGUGGAGGAUCUGCUGGGAAGGCUGACACUGCAUGCGGAUGGAGAUGAGGAAUUUGUGUGGGAGGAAGAGAUCCAGGAGCCGCCAGCACCGGCAAAGUGGCUGGCCAUAGCGCGAGUGCACAGGAAGAGGGGUUUUAGCCCUACUGCUGUAUAUUCUGAUAUGAGAUCGGCAUGGAAUCCGGCUAAGGAGGUAAUCUGGAGAAGGUUGGAUGAGAACCUCUUUACGGUUCAGUUUGGUUGUUUGGGAGAUUGGAAUAAGGCCAUGAAGCAGGGACCUUGGUUGUGUAGAUAUCAAGGUGUGUUAAUGGAGGAGUACGAUGGAUAUGAAGAUCCUACAUCAGUUGUACUGAACAAAUUGGCGGUCUGGGCUAGAGUCUUGCGGCUGCCAGAUAACUAUCUGCAUGAACCGAUCAUCAAGGGUAUGUGCAGACCGAUGGGUGAAAUCACUGAAGUCCAAAUCAAACUCCCGGCUGGUUUUGUGGGAGAAUUCGUUCGGAUAAGAGCCAGAGUAGAUGUGACAAAAAAACUAACUCGCUUUGUGUCGAUCACGAAGGAGAAGAAGAAGGUUUGGUACCAAGUUCAGUACGAGAAGCUGCCGACCUUUUGCGGAAACUGUGGGUUACUUGGGCAUUGGCACGAGGAGUGUGGCACGGGCGAGCAUGACGAAUCAAAACUUGAAUGGGGUGAUUUCUUGCUUGUGGAUGGAGGCAGAGGCAAUGGCCGAGGUAGAGGGGGACGUGCUUCAACAGGACGUGCUCCUGCUAGGGGGUGA
rnacentral:rRNA from 1 species